rnacentral:rRNA from 1 species
UACGUAGGAGGCGAGCGUUGUCCGGAUUCACUGGGCGUAAAGGGCGCGUAGGCGGCGGCUUGAGUCUCUGCGUGAAAUCUCCCGGCUCAACCGGGAGGGUGCGCGGGAUACUGGGCGGCUUGAGGACAUCAGAGGAGAGCGGAAUCCCCGGUGUAGUGGUGAAAUGCGUAGAUAUCGGGGGGAACACCAGUGGCGAAGGCGGCUCUCUGGGGUGCACCUGACGCUGAUGCGCGAAAGCGUGG